CGAUGUGAAGGUGAUCUUGCUGUGACAUCUGUCAUCCCAUUGAUUGCCAGGGUUGAAUUGGCUUAUCUGUCUGGCUGGUGUCCCCCUCCUCCUUCACCACUCCAUGUGAGGCCCUCUGGAAGCUGCCUGCUUGGUAGAAGAGGAGGGCCUUCAGGAAUAGUGAUGGACUGGUCUUUGGUAGAGGGUAUAGGAGUUAGGGAUGCUCACUGGAUAGAACCUUCAAACAAGCUCCCCAGGAAUGAGAAUCUCUUUGCAUAACAAUUAGCUAUCUAU
rnacentral:snRNA from 1 species